ensembl:lncRNA
UGAAAAUUAAAAUCAACAUAAUGCCACAAAUAAUUGAGCUUGACUCAUACUGAACCUAAAAUAUGGCUUUAAACUGUUCUGUACCUCUUGUGCAGCUGCUGCAUGUGUUGAAAGCAGUGGAGAACGCAGGAGCGGCUGCAUCAGAUCUCCUCCCCACACUGAGCCGCUGUGUGCAGAAUCAGUCUGUGCCUCUGGAGCUUCGGCUGGCAGCUGUACGAGCAUUCAGGAGAAUCCCAUGCCGUCAUGACGUCAGUAUCACUGAACAAUUUAAGAUACAAAUAGCAUACUGGCAUGCAUGUAUGUGCUGAUACGUUUACAUUGAUGUUAUAUCUAUUAUGGCAUGACUUAUGUUCUUGCAUUAUGUUCUUUCUCAUGUUAUCAGAGGACAACUCUUGCUCGGGCAUUUCAAAGCCAGCAGGAGAAUGUGGAGGUCAGAAUUGCAGCAUAUCAGCAGCUCAUGCACUGUCCAAACCAGGAGAUUUUCACAAUUGUGAAGACAACGAUAAGCACUGAGAAGUCUAGUCAAGUUGGGUCAUUUGUUUGGAGUCACCUUUUCAAUAUCCAGAAAACAGAAGAUCCUCUGAAAAAAGACCUGAUGGAGUCACUGCCAGAUGAUAUCAUAAGUAAAGACUUUGAAGCUGAACCAUGGAAAUAUUCCUCACAUAUGGACUACACAGUGGACACAGGUACUACACAUAAUGUAGCAUUUCCAUCUGUUUCCAAUAAUGCUCUAUUUGUAACACUUUGGUUUUCCCUCAUUUUUAACGUGUGGAUUGUAUGUCUGCUCCAGGAGUGGCUGCUGCUAACAUCGAGGGAGCUGUAGUUUUCUCCCCUGAAUCUUUUGUUCCACGUUAUGCUAUGGCAAAUCUAACAGUUCACGUCCUAGGCAGAGCAUUCAAUCUUCUGGAGGUGAAAAUCCAAUUUGUUCAACGUCUGUUUGUAUUUUCCACAAAACAAAUCUAAUUUGAAACUAUUUACCGUUUACUGUACUGUUCCUAGUCUUAUUGUUCAUCCGUGAACACCAUUCCAAUGAAAAUAAGUUUGUCUUCAUAAUCUUUCAUCAUAAUGUAAUAACUUGUUUAAAAAAAAAAAAAAAGUUUGUUUGAGUACAACUAGGUGAGGGGUUUCAAACUGUAGUCCAGAAACACACAUAUUGCCACGAAGGGUGUGCAGAAAAACAUAGAAAAAUAGAGAGAAAAAUUGUGUUAAAAAAGUAAUAACGAAUAAUAAUUAAAAUACCAAAUAUAUUCAAAGAUCCAAAUAUUAUUUUAAAAUACAUAACUGCAUAUUUAAAUGCAUAAUUAAAACAAUCAUAAUCAAACAAAAAAAUACAAAAAUAUAUACCAUUACGUAAGUUAAGUUGCUACCUCUAAUCACUUGUCUAGGCCAUGUGAGAAAUUGGUUAAUGUUUGCCAUAAAACAAAACAUAUGUGACCCUGAAGCACAAACCAGUCUUAAGUGUCAAUUUUUCUAAAUUGAGAUUUAUACAUAAUCUGAAAGCUGAAUAAAUAAGAUUUCCAUUGAUGUUUGUUAGGACCA